CCGUUUGACACGGGCUCCCCUCCCCGGUGCGCCUCCACGCUCAUUCCGGCGCUGGCCCCACCGCACGCCGCUCUCCAGCCUGCAGCAACCGGAGGUAACGGGGAUCCCCAAGCAGCGGCUUCGCACACAGACGCAGGCGUGCCAUCGUGUGAAGUGAACGAAUCGGCGACAGUGUAGCACCAACAGGACAGGAAACUUCUCUUUCUCUCUCUCUCUCUCUCUCUCUCUGCCCCCCCUGUCAGUCUGUUUCUCUCGCUCCUUCUCCCUCCCUCCCUCUCUUUCUCUCUAACUGAAAGGUGGGGGGAGGCGACCAAAGCUGGGGCGACAGCAACAGCUAAAAGCGACACACCUUCCAGUCCGUCACCAUCAAACAUUCCUCACAUCUCCGUCACAGCUGGGCGUGCGCCUGCGUAAAGAGAAUUUAAACAGCUCGGGGGCUCGAUCUGCCUCUCUCUCUCUCUCCAGCUGGGCGUUAAAAACCCCUCAACGCUGUCUGGAGCAAGAUGAUGUCGACGACUUUUCCAAUUCGCCUUUCUCCUCUGCUUCAAUCAGGCUUCUUUGGAUGGACUGUCUGAGGGCGAGAGAAAGCUCAUCAUCUGGGACAAUGCCGAUGUUGCUUCAUAGUUGCUUACGUGUUUUAUUCGUACAAGUCAUGUUUUUAUUUGUCUACAAAUAAUAAUAAUAAAAAAAGCUACGUGUGCAUCUAAAAAAAAAGUGGAAUAUCAUGGAAAAGUUCUUUUAUUGCCAUCAUUAAAAAAAAAAAAAAA